rnacentral:rRNA from 1 species
UUAAGCGACUAAGCGUACACGGUGGAUGCCCUGGCAGUCAGAGGCGAUGAAGGACGUGCUAAUCUGCGAUAAGCGUCGGUAAGGUGAUAUGAACCGUUAUAACCGGCGAUUUCCGAAUGGGGAAACCCAGUGUGUUUCGACACACUAUCAUUAACUGAAUCCAUAGGUUAAUGAGGCGAACCGGGGAACUGAAACAUCUAAGUACCCCGAGGAAAAGAAAUCAACCGAGAUUCCCCCAGUAGCGGCGAGCGAACGGGGAGGAGCCCAGAGCCUGAAUCAGUGUGUGUGUUAGUGGAAGCGUCUGGAAAGGCGCGCGAUACAGGGUGACAGCCCCGUACACAAAAAUGCACAUGCUGUGAGCUCGAUGAGUAGGGCGGGACACGUGGUAUCCUGUCUGAAUAUGGGGGGACCAUCCUCCAAGGCUAAAUACUCCUGACUGACCGAUAGUGAACCAGUACCGUGAGGGAAAGGCGAAAAGAACCCCGGCGAGGGGAGUGAAAAAGAACCUGAAACCGUGUACGUACAAGCAGUGGGAGCACAGAGCAAUCUGUGUGACUGCGUACCUUUUGUAUAAUGGGUCAGCGACUUAUAUUCUGUAGCAAGGUUAACCGAAUAGGGGAGCCGAAGGGAAACCGAGUCUUAACCGGGCGUUAAGUUGCAGGGUAUAGACCCGAAACCCGGUGAUCUAGCCAUGGGCAGGUUGAAGGUUGGGUAACACUAACUGGAGGACCGAACCGACUAAUGUUGAAAAAUUAGCGGAUGACUUGUGGCUGGGGGUGAAAGGCCAAUCAAACCGGGAGAUAGCUGGUUCUCCCCGAAAGCUAUUUAGGUAGCGCCUCGUGAAUUCAUCUCCGGGGGUAGAGCACUGUUUCGGCAAGGGGGUCAUCCCGACUUACCAACCCGAUGCAAACUGCGAAUACCGGAGAAUGUUAUCACGGGAGACACACGGCGGGUGCUAACGUCCGUCGUGAAGAGGGAAACAACCCAGACCGCCAGCUAAGGUCCCAAAGUCAUGGUUAAGUGGGAAACGAUGUGGGAAGGCCCAGACAGCCAGGAUGUUGGCUUAGAAGCAGCCAUCAUUUAAAGAAAGCGUAAUAGCUCACUGGUCGAGUCGGCCUGCGCGGAAGAUGUAACGGGGCUAAACCAUGCACCGAAGCUGCGGCAGCGACACUGUGUGUUGUUGGGUAGGGGAGCGUUCUGUAAGCCUGUGAAGGUGUGCUGUGAGGCAUGCUGGAGGUAUCAGAAGUGCGAAUGCUGACAUAAGUAACGAUAAAGCGGGUGAAAAGCCCGCUCGCCGGAAGACCAAGGGUUCCUGUCCAACGUUAAUCGGGGCAGGGUGAGUCGACCCCUAAGGCGAGGCCGAAAGGCGUAGUCGAUGGGAAACAGGUUAAUAUUCCUGUACUUGGUGUUACUGCGAAGGGGGGACGGAGAAGGCUAUGUUGGCCGGGCGACGGUUGUCCCGGUUUAAGCGUGUAGGCUGGUUUUCCAGGCAAAUCCGGAAAAUCAAGGCUGAGGCGUGAUGACGAGGCACCACGGUGCUGAAGCAACAAAUGCACUGCUUCCAGGAAAGCCUCUAAGCAUCAGGUAACAUCAAAUCGUACCCCAAACCGACACAGGUGGUCAGGUAGAGAAUACCAAGGCGCUUGAGAGAACUCGGGUGAAGGAACUAGGCAAAAUGGUGCCGUAACUUCGGGAGAAGGCACGCUGAUAUGUAGGUGAAGUCCCUCGCGGAUGGAGCUGAAAUCAGUCGAAGAUACCAGCUGGCUGCAACUGUUUAUUAAAAACACAGCACUGUGCAAACACGAAAGUGGACGUAUACGGUGUGACGCCUGCCCGGUGCCGGAAGGUUAAUUGAUGGGGUCAGCGCAAGCGAAGCUCUUGAUCGAAGCCCCGGUAAACGGCGGCCGUAACUAUAACGGUCCAAGGUAGCGAAAUUCCUUGUCGGGUAAGUUCCGACCUGCAGAAUGGCGUAAUGAUGGCCAGGCUGUCUCCACCCGAGACUCAGUGAAAUUGAACUCGCUGUGAAGAUGCAGUGUACCCGCGGCAAGACGGAAAGACCCCGUGAACCUUUACUAUAGCUUGACACUGAACAUUGAGCCUUGAUGUGUAGGAUAGGUGGGAGGCUUUGAAGUGUGGACGCCAGUCUGCAUGGAGCCGACCUUGAAAUACCACCCUUUAAUGUUUGAUGUUCUAACGUGGACCCGUGAUCCGGGUUGCGGACAGUGUCUGGUGGGUAGUUUGACUGGGGCGGUCUCCUCCUAAAGAGUAACGGAGGAGCACGAAGGUUGGCUAAUCCUGGUCGGACAUCAGGAGGUUAGUGCAAUGGCAUAAGCCAGCUUGACUGCGAGCGUGACGGCGCGAGCAGGUGCGAAAGCAGGUCAUAGUGAUCCGGUGGUUCUGAAUGGAAGGGCCAUCGCUCAACGGAUAAAAGGUACUCCGGGGAUAACAGGCUGAUACCGCCCAAGAGUUCAUAUCGACGGCGGUGUUUGGCACCUCGAUGUCGGCUCAUCACAUCCUGGGGCUGAAGUAGGUCCCAAGGGUAUGGCUGUUCGCCAUUUAAAGUGGUACGCGAGCUGGGUUUAGAACGUCGUGAGACAGUUCGGUCCCUAUCUGCCGUGGGCGCUGGAGAACUGAGGGGGGCUGCUCCUAGUACGAGAGGACCGGAGUGGACGCAUCACUGGUGUUCGGGUUGUCAUGCCAAUGGCACUGCCCGGUAGCUAAAUGCGGAAGAGAUAAGUGCUGAAAGCAUCUAAGCACGAAACUUGCCCCGAGAUGAGUUCUCCCUGACCCUUUAAGGGUCCUGAAGGAACGUUGAAGACGACGACGUUGAUAGGCCGGGUGUGUAAGCGCAGCGAUGCGUU